GACGAACGCUGUCGGCGUGCUUAACACAUGCAAGUCGAACGGAAAGGCCCUGCUUUUGUGGGGUGCUCGAGUGGCGAACGGGUGAGUAACACGUGAGUAACCUGCCCUUGACUUUGGGAUAACUUCAGGAAACUGGGGCUAAUACCGGAUAGGAGCUCCCGCUGCAUGGUGGGGGUUGGAAAGUUUCGGCGGUUGGGGAUGGACUCGCGGCUUAUCAGCUUGUUGGUGGGGUAGUGGCUUACCAAGGCUUUGACGGGUAGCCGGCCUGAGAGGGUGACCGGCCACAUUGGGACUGAGAUACGGCCCAGACUCCUACGGGAGGCAGCAGUGGGGAAUAUUGCGCAAUGGGCGGAAGCCUGAUGCAGCAACGCCGCGUGCGGGAUGACGGCCUUCGGGUUGUAAACCGCUUUCGCCUGUGACGAAGCGUGAGUGACGGUAAUGGGUAAAGAAGCACCGGCUAACUACGUG
rnacentral:rRNA from 1 species